AAAAAAGAAACAGAUAAGCACAUUCAAAAGAACAAAAAAAAGCUGCAGGCAUUAAGGCUUUCUGUUCAAAUUCGAUGAAGAGACAUAUGACAGCACGAAGCCUCGCAUUUAUUUGCUGAAGGCAAUGCGGCGUGUGUGGCGAAGACACGCCUAAAGCAGCCAUUUCAGAAGGUUCUACCACCGCAAACAACAGCGGUGCAAGAGGAUCCUCCAGAUUCGAUGUGGCGGAACGUACAUGAUCUUCUCACGGGGACCCUUCAUAGCCGCCGUUGGUGAAGGAUAUCCCGGCCCUUUACGGCAGCAUCCACCUACCGU